rnacentral:SRP_RNA from 1 species
GGGCAAGCCCGGCGCGGCGAAGCCUUUCGAACCCCGCCAGGGCUGAAAGGCAGCAACGGUAAGGAAGUCUCUUCGGGCGCCGCCGUCAGCCUGCCCGGC